rnacentral:rRNA from 1 species
UGGGGGAUAUUGCACAAUGGGCGAAAGCCUGAUGCAGCGACGCCGCGUGGGGGAUGAAGGCUUUCGGGUUGUAAACCUCUUUCGCUAUCGAACAAGGCUCAUUUUUUUGGUGGGUUGAGGGUAGGUGGAGAAGAAGCGCCGGCUAACUACGUGCCAGCAGCCGCGGUAAUACGUAGGGCGCGAGCGUUGUCCGGAAUUAUUGGGCGUAAAGGGCUUGUAGGCGGCUUGUUGCGCCUGCUGUGCAAACGCGGGGCUUAACUUCGCGCGUGCAGUGGGUACGGGCAGGCUUGAGUGUGGUAGGGGUGACUGGAAUUCCAGGUGUGGCGGUGGAAUGCGCAGAUAUCUGGAGGAACACCGAUGGCGAAGGCAGGUCACUGGGCCAUUACUGACGCUGAGGAGCGAAAGCAUGGGUAGCGAACAGG